UGGGGAAUAUUGCACAAUGGGCGCAAGCCUGAUGCAGCCAUGCCGCGUGUGUGAAGAAGGCCUUCGGGUUGUAAAGCACUUUCAGCGAGGAGGAAGGUGGUGAGCUUAAUACGCUCACCAAUUGACGUUACUCGCAGAAGAAGCACCGGCUAACUCCGUGCCAGCAGCCGCGGUAAUACGGAGGGUGCAAGCGUUAAUCGGAAUUACUGGGCGUAAAGCGCACGCAGGCGGUUUGUUAAGUCAGAUGUGAAAUCCCCGGGCUCAACCUGGGAACUGCAUUUGAAACUGGCAAGCUAGAGUCUCGUAGAGGGGGGUAGAAUUCCAGGUGUAGCGGUGAAAUGCGUAGAGAUCUGGAGGAAUACCGGUGGCGAAGGCGGCCCCCCUGGACGAAGACUGACGCUCAGGUGCGAAAGCGUGGGGCAGCAAACAGGAUUAGAUACCCUGGUAGUCCACGCUGUAAACGAUGUCGAUUUGGAGGUUGUGCCCCUUGAGGCGUGGCUUCCGGAGCUAACGCGUUAAAUCGACCGCC
rnacentral:rRNA from 1 species